UGACACUGAGUAAUAAUAGAUAAUGUUGACUUAGGUUCCCCGCUGGUCAGAAAUACUAUACUUCUGUGAAAGGUAACGUGAAACACUGUAUCUUAGCUGAUACCCCCAUGCAGGAGCUUAGCUUCCUCGGCUUGGUGGUUCUAUAAUCUUCACACUUGGUUGCCUCUGAGGCGCAUACUUCAGUGCUUCCCCGAAUAUGAUCUGGUGAAACUGACAGCCUCCAGUUUACCCCUGAAGGACCUUGGCUGAAGAAAGGGACUUUCGGUGACUGGCUUCAGAAACAGUUACCUGGAGACUGAAAAGAUAAACCGAACGUGUCUUGAGAGGAAUGUCGGGGCGAAGAUGAAGCUCUGAUGGUCUAAGUCUCUCCACCCGCAUCCUUGACCAUGACGUGGUUCCAAGUCUGUUAUGUCACAACACUGCUUGUGUUGUAGACUUGGGAGGGAGUCCUGGUAAUUCCUUGUUAAGGACCAGUAAGAAGCAUUCGACAUAAUUUGACAUAAUUCAGCAAGAAGCCCCAGGGAGUGGUCAGAGGAAUGGACGGUUUCAGCAGAGCCAGCUGGGGCUAAGACCGUGGUGCAUUGCUGCCUUGCUUCUGUGUCUACCUGACUUUUUGAAGACUUCGUCAACGGAAGGAGCUAUUGCAAAGCUGGCAUUGGCAAGCCACUCAACAGGAAGAAAAGUCGACAGGAAGUUGGACCAGGGAUGGGACAAGCUCCAAGGAAUAUAAAAAACGGAGAGGAAGAUGUCUAAGAAGAAUAAACUGUGUUUGCCCUCCGUGUUCACUGAGCGACGGAAGAUAUUGUUCUAUGGAUUACCCACUACUUGACUAUUCUUUAAGUCUAGCCUUUAUGAGCUCAUAAAAAAAACCAAAAAACAAAAAGGACUCUGCUUAUGUGUCUAGGAAAACCCAUAUCUUUAUAUGCUGUCAGAACUGAAUUCAACAUACUGUUUCAAUAUACAUUUAAAAACCAACAGAUAUUUUGUUGGAGAAAGCAAGCCGGACAAUCGCCCUAAACCCGCGUUUACACUUCAUCUUCGUCACACACAAACGUGGGCUAGCUGAAGUAGUUUUAGAAAGUGGAUUGCUUCCACUUGAGAGUGAUGGGAAGGGGCUGAAGUCUGCUUGAAACUGCAUCACCACUGACCGCGGUACAGUUUUACAUGACCAUCUCCAGUCUUUUCUCUGAUACACUAAAAAAGCCCAAAUUAAUUAGUCAGAAACACAACCGAGGGCUGUCAGUGAGCAGGAUGGUGGGAGGAGGAGGGAGGGAGUCCGAGCUGUAUGGCCCGCACAAACCCAGACUGGACAUUCUCACCAGAGCUCUUCUGAGAAACGUCCCACAUGCUUUGAACCAAGGAAGUGAAAAUACACUUCUGAUAAAGAGCACCUCAAUCUCGCCUUCCAGGGAGCCAAAGCUGAAGGGUUAGUAAUAGCCACAGGGUAAACAGGUAGAUAUUUUACCAUCUUCUGUCUUACAAUGGAACUUUUCAAAUGUAAAUAAUUUACAAGGAAAAGAGUGGGCCCAGUCAGAUCUGAGAUACAGAGGGCUGGAUGGGAAAACAGUGAGGCUUUGUCAGGGGACGGAGUUCGAGGACCCUGCCUGGCAUAAACUGUUUACACAUAUUCCUGUCUUCAUUGUUCCUCUCAGGCGAUGAGUAUCUCUUCCUUCCUUCCUCCCGUGCUCUUGGCCAUGAGUUAGCUUCUUUGGCCUUUGCUUCUCUCAAGAAUCUUCCCAUUUCCCCGAGCUCCUCCCUGGCACGCCCCUCUGUCUUCUCAGGGGCUUUUUGAGGAACCAUAGUUUCUGGGUGGCUUCUCCAUGUCAGCCUUGCUCAGGGAUUGACUUCGUACAUUUGUUAAUGAUUGUAUUUAGGAGCAACUCCUCCAGCGUUCCCGUUCUUUUUGAUCUGAUUUAAAUUCAGUUUCAAAACCCUGACUGGAGACGGUUUACUUUUUUCCACACAGCCGCUCUUUCUGCUGUCUCAUUUAACACAGCUGGUGUAUAAACAUUCUUAUAAACUAAGAGUGCUUAGCAUAUCAAGAUCCAUUUGCAAAAAUAAUUAUAAUAUACAAAAGAGAAGGAAGGGGGAAAAAACAGCACAAAGUACACACCCUUUACUAGAUGUUUCCUAGGACCCCUAGGGACUCGUAUUUAGAUUUAACUCUGGUGGCUGGUUUGAGCUUGGUAGAAGGACACAUUUAGAAGUCUGUCCUCAGGUCAAUGCCAGACAGGGAAACGGGUAGGAAGCCGUGUGUACAGAAGGCCAGUGAUUUUGCCUGAAGUACACCUAAUGUGGGGUAUGAUUUUGUGGUCUUGGGCUUAAGGGCAGACUCUAGGCUGCUUUUGUUCAGUUUUCUUCCCUUCCUGCCUCCCUCUUCUCUUGAGAACAGUCUCCUAAUAGAUCAUCCCAACAAGAAUUCUUAUCUCCCGGUCUGUUUCUGGGAAGCUCGCCAAGAUAUAUACCUUUAAAAUAAUGAACAAGAAAAAUCUUAGAAUUAUUUGACCACAUCUUCAAUAGAUACUAAAUGGUCAGUUUUGAGGUGGGCAUUAAAAAACAUUAAAAAAACAUUAAAAAAAAACAGUGGCAAAAAUUAAAUUCUGUGUGUGUGUGUGUGUGUGUGUGUGUGUGUGCGCGCGCGCGCGCACGCGCGUGUACAUGCACAGGCGCCUGUGCAUGGUGUCUUGUAAAAAAGAGGAAGUAGUUUUUAAGGAGUUGCAAGUGUAUAAAAUGCUACUGGGCUGGAGAAAUUCCAGUGAGUGAGAUCUGCUGGUCCGUAGUACUUAUCUUGGGAAUUUUUUACAUUGUCCAAAGUAGUUUCUGUCACAUGAUCAAAGCUAAUCUCAGGACAGUUCAGACAAACAAGAAUAAAUAUAAGCUCCAUCCUCUACCUAUAAAGACCGCUAUUUUCCACCUCCAAAGACAGUUUUAGAUGUAUUAAACAACUUGCCUUCUCUGAGUAGAGACCUAGCCCAAAAGUGUUUAAACCCAGAUCUCCAGGGAAAAUACAAGGUGAGCUUUACAACUAACUUAAGAUACAUCUGUGCCUAUAGGUUGGGCUUCAGACUCAAUCCCAUUGGCAUUACCUUGGAAAUUCAUCUUCUAAUCUGGAGUUAAUCUCGGCCGAAGUUUUUUUUUUUUUUUAUUAAAGGUACACACUAAUCAUGCCCUAUGGCGUAAGGAAAUUAUUCUGGAAUCUAGUAGUCGGAACCGACAAUCUCCAUUGUCCCAGAGUCUGUGUGGCUAAAGACUGAGCGGUGGCGGGCGCACUUCUAUUUUAGGGACUUGCACAAAGUCCCAGGACAAGCAUUCUCCCCAGCUGUGGUCUCCUUUGCAAACUCAGCAGAGUGAGGACUUGCUUUCACCUCCGCCAAGGUAGUUCAGGGCUCAGCUUCUUGGGUGUGCUUGCACGGAAGUCUGGCGGGCUCCCUUUCGUCUCUGGCUGUUGGCCAGUGACGUCCCUCAGUUCCUUGUCAUGUAGCACUUUUCAUGGUGUAGCUCACAAGAUGGCAGCUGGCAUUCCUUAGAGUGAGGCAAGUUGCAGAAAGCAAGAGCGGAUGAGCCCUGUAGAAGUCAGAGCAUUUUCGUAACCGAAUCUUGGAAAUGACACCCCAUCAAUUUUUUUUUUUCCUGUAUUUUCUCAGUUCGAAAUGAGUCACUAGGCCUGGCCCAUGCCCACGUUCAACGGGAGUGGAUUAUACAUGGGCAGUAUGGCGGGAGCCUUUUUAGAGUCUGCCUACCACAAUGUGUCACUUGGCUUCCUCAUCUCUGAGGACCAGCGUCUUGAUCCAACCACUGUUUUCUCUUUAAGGAAGCACUGGAUAUUUUCAAUAUGUUAAUUUCAUGGGUUUAGGCAUAUGUGCUGUAGUUUAAUGCUCUUCUUUCUCGCUUGCUCUCUCUCCCACCCACUCUCCAAUUUCUCUUCUCCUUUUGCCUGUCCUUGCCUGCUUCCUCUGCCCUCCUGCUUCAAGCGCUACUCACUUCUCUUUCAGGCUGCCUGGUUUGCCCUCUCCUCCUUUCUCAUGCUCUCCUGGUCACUGCCUUUAAAGAAUCUGAGUUGUGUAUUUCUGCUGCUACUACCACGGCCCUUGCUGUUCUCCUAUCUGUUCCUAGGGACCAUGGCCAACCAGCAAUUUUAGAUUCUGCCUUUUAAGUUUCUAAAGAAAGUGAUCCGAUUCAACUACUGGGUUUGGUGGCUUUAUUUUUUUUUUUUAAUUUUUUUUUAUCAAGUUCCUUUGGGUAGAUGAUACCAUAAUGAUGUGAGAGGGAAAAAAGUUUAAUAGAACAUGGGAGAAAUCCCAGUUUCGAGGGUCGGUGGAAGGUGGAGGAUUUGCCCUUGCUACGUUUCCAAGCAUAAUGUCAGAUUGGAAUUUUAACUACUGUCUUUUCUUGUGCAUUUUGUUAAUUAAUAAAGAUUAUAUGGAAUAAAGACACA